rnacentral:rRNA from 1 species
UUGAUGGUACCUUGCUACAUGGAUAACUGUGGUAAUUCUAGAGCUAAUACAUGCUGAAAAGCCCCGACUUCUGGGAGGGGUGUAUUUAUUAGAUAAAAAACCAAUGGCCUUCGGGUCUCCUUGGUGAAUCAUGAUAACUUCUCGAAUCGCAUGGCCUUGCGCCGGCGAUGCUUCAUUCAAAUAUCUGCCCUAUCAACUUUCGAUGGUAGGAUAAAGGCCUACCAUGGUUAUGACGGGUAACGGGGAAUAAGGGUUCGAUUCCGGAGAGAGGGCCUGAGAAACGGCCCUCAUGUCUAAGGAUAGCAGCAGGCGCGCAAAUUACCCAAUCCCGACUCGGGGAGGUAGUGACAAUAAAUAACAAUAUAGGGCUCUUAUGGGUCUUAUAAUUGGAAUGAGUACAAUUUAAAUCCCUUAACGAGGAUCAAUUGGAGGGCAAGUCUGGUGCCAGCAGCCGCGGUAAUUCCAGCUCCAAUAGCGUAUAUUAAAGUUGCUGCCGUUAAAAAGCUCGUAGUCGAACCUCGGCCCCUGCCUGCCGGUCCGCCUUUUGGUGUGUACUGGUUCUGGCGGGGGCUUACCUCCUGGUGAGCCGGCAUGCCCUUCACUGGGUGUGUCGGUGAACCCCGACUUUUACUUUGAAGAAAUUAGAGUGUUCCAAGCAGGCCUACGCCCGAAUACAUUA